AGAGAAUAGCGAUGCCAGUCUGUGAUGGACAAACGAUUGACAAGUUCCUGGUUACCCUGUGUUCGUUCUUGAGUGUUUGCAUCAUCCUCUUAAUUUGUAUUCUCCUGAACAUUCUCUUCAAACACAGAAGACACUUGAAGGGAAAGUUGACAAUAUCAAGAAAGAAGACCAAACCUGUUGUCAACCCGACAUACGAAGAACAAGAAUUGAACACGAUUGUAACAUCCUACGAUCAGAUUUGUCUACAACCUUAACAGGAUAUCAUUUCACCAUUCCUUCCUUCAAUCAAUUUCAUCCUCCUCUUCAUUUGAGAAUUUGAUUAUCGUCUGAGUGUUGUGAAGAUUACUAUCCAGAAAAUACCCGAUGCGAACCGUGUAUAGGUUCAUUUGGAAGAAAUUGUUCGGGCGGGCCUUGUACACCGGGGUAUUACGGUCAUGGAUGCAAAAAGCGGUGUGAUUGUGGAACCAUUGUCUGUGACAGAACAAGUGGAUGUCCUCAGGAUUUGAAGACCGGAGCAUAUCACUACUGGAUCUUCAUUAUUCUAGGCACGCUAAUCAUUAACAGUAUACCAAUAACGAUUGCAAUUAAUGCUUUCAUAUCAACUAGAAAAAGGAACACCAGAGGCAAACAGGACAGCAAUCAAGAAACAGCUAGAAGAAAAGGAAAAUUAAAUUUAUUCUCAGGUGCUUUGCUAAAACGUUUUCGAAGAGCAGCGUCUUCUGAUGACGAUGGCGAAGAAGCUGGGGAUCCGAACGAAAGCAUUCUGGAGUCACCUAAAAGACGAGGAAAGUUAAAUGUUUAUGUUGACGCAUUACUAAAACGUGUGCGGAGAGCUCCUCCUCACAAUGACGAAGAUCCUAAUAAACCUACAGAGGAUUAUUUUACUAUGAGGAUGUCCAUGGCUCCACCAAAAGAUAACGUUCAUCACUUUACAGGUUGCGACGAAGAAGAUGGGGAUGACAUUGAAGAGGUGGAGUACGUGGAAAUGAAUGUACAAUCUGAUGAAUAAUUAAACGUAAAAUUUAAUGUG